UACGUAGGGUGCAAGCGUUAAUCGGAAUUACUGGGCGUAAAGCGUGCGCAGGCGGCUUUGCAAGACAGAUGUGAAAUCCCCGGGCUUAACCUGGGAACUGCAUUUGUGACUGCAAGGCUAGAGUACGGCAGAGGGGGAUGGAAUUCCUGGUGUAGCGGUGAAAUGCGUAGAUAUCAGGAGGAACACCGGUGGCGAAGGCGGCUUUCUGGACAGAUACCGACGCUGAGGCACGAAAGCUAGGGGAGCAAACAGG
rnacentral:rRNA from 1 species